GACGUAGGGGCGAGCGUUGUCCGGAAUUACUGGGCGUAAAGAGCACGCAGGCGGGAACCUAAGUCAGGUGUGAAAGACCGUGGCUCAACCACGGGGUGGCAUUUGAAACUGGGUUUCUUGAGGGCAGGAGAGGAGAGCAGAAUUCCUGGUGUAGCGGUGAAAUGCGUAGAAAUCAGGAGGAAUACCAGUGGCGAAGGCGGCUUUCUGGACUGACCCUGACGCUGAGGUGCGAAAGCGUGGGUAGCAAACAGGAUUAGAUACCCUGGUAGUCCCUGA
rnacentral:rRNA from 1 species